AACAGAGUAGAUUCGUGUGCGUGAAGUGCGGAGUGAACGGGGAGUUGUCACUUUGACGAAAAGCCUUAGGCUUGCGGUAUACGGAUUGCAUCCCGCUGAU
rfam:Firmicutes bacterium CAG:41 genomic scaffold, scf193